AACGAACGCUGGCGGCAGGCUUAACACAUGCAAGUCGAACGUGAAGCCACCUUCGGGUGGUGGAAAGUGGCAGACGGGUGAGUAACGCGUGGGAAUCUACCUAAUGGUACGGAAUAACUCAGGGAAACUUGAGCUAAUACCGUAUGUGCCCGAAAGGGGAAAGAUUUAUCGCCAUUAGAUGAGCCCGCGUCGGAUUAGCUAGUUGGUGGGGUAACGGCCCACCAAGGCGACGAUCCGUAGCUGGUCUGAGAGGAUGAUCAGCCACACUGGGACUGAGACACGGCCCAGACUCCUACGGGAGGCAGCAGUGGGGAAUAUUGGACAAUGGGCGCAAGCCUGAUCCAGCCAUGCCGCGUGAGUGAUGAAGGCCCUAGGAUUGUAAAGCUCUUUCGACGGGGACGAUAAUGACGGUACCCGUAGAAGAAGCCCCGGCUAACUUCGUGCCAGCCGCCGCGGUAAGAC
rnacentral:rRNA from 1 species